rnacentral:rRNA from 1 species
GAUGAACGCUGGCGGCGUGCUUAACACAUGCAAGUCGAACGGAAAGGCCCAAGCUUGCUUGGGUACUCGAGUGGCGAACGGGUGAGUAACACGUGGGUGAUCUGCCCUGCACUUCCGGAUAAGCCUGGGAAACUGGGUCUAAUACCGGAUAGGACGAUGGUUUGGAUGCCAUUGUGGAAAGUUUUUUCGGUUUGGGAUGAGCUCGCGGACUAUCAGCUUGUUGGUGGGGUAAUGGCGUACCAAGGCGUCGACGGGUAGCCGGCCUGAGAGGGUGUACGGACACAUUGGGACUGAGAGACGGCCCAGACUACUACGGGAGGCAGCAGUGGCGAAUAUUGGACAAUGGGCGCAAGCGUGAUGCAGCGAGGCCGCGUGGGGGAUGACGGCCUUCGGGUUGUAAACUCCUUUCGCUAGGGACGAAGCGUUUUUGUGACGGUACCUGGAGAAGAAGCACCGGCUAACUACGUG